CACAUCAUCUACAUGAACAGGUUCACUAUAUAUUAUCUUUUUGCUCCGAUCAUUUCCACCUCCCCCGGCUAACCCUAAACAGGUUCACUAUACAUCAUCUCUCUCUCUCUCCGCCAACCUGUCUUCUCUGAAGGUUCCCAAAUCUUCCAAUCUUCUCGGUCAAAUCUCUCAGCGUUCUUCCUGCAUGGGCGUGCACUGGUUAGGACCACCUGCGUCCCUGGAUGUGCGCUUCGCCUCACCUUCCUCCAUAUAUCGUGUGUAUCAUUCUCCACUGUUCGUCCCUCCUCUCACCUUCUCCUUUCUCGUCCUCUUCCUCGAAGUUCCCCCCGUCACAGCGUCCCCAUCUCCUUUUCCUUUUCCAAGUGGGGAUACCGCCGAGGCUAUGGCCCAAGCUAUUAGAGGUCAAGAAGAUGCAUUUGGACAAGCACAGCUCAUCAGAGAUGCUGCCGUCGAAAGCCGCUCUAGAGAAAGCAGCUCCUCACAGCUACUUGGUCAUGGAACACACGAUCAGCUCUGUGAUGCCGUGCAUGAGAACCUGUUGAACUCAGAUCCCGAGUUCAACACAGUGGGGCAGAUCUCCACCUUGUCCCUGCAAGAGAAAGGAAGGUCCCAAGGCACCUCAAGCUCUGCCAGAGUCUGAGUUCCCGUUGCAGAUGAUGAACCCAGGAUUUUGUAGCUGGCUUCCAAGUACCUACCAAACAGCCUGCUGCCAUGCAGCGCAUGUCUUGAGAGAACAAUUAAUUUUAGCGUGGAUCACAUCACAUUACACGGUUUUGUUUCCUGUCA